UAACAUAAGUAACCUGCCCUAGACAGGGGGAUAACUAUUGGAAACGAUAGCUAAGACCGCAUAGGUACGGACACUGCAUGGUGACCGUAUUAAAAGUGCCUCAAAGCACUGGUAGAGGAUGGACUUAUGGCGCAUUAGCUGGUUGGCGGGGUAACGGCCCACCAAGGCGACGAUGCGUAGCCGACCUGCGAGGGUGACCGGCCACACUGGGACUGAGACACGGCCCAG
rnacentral:rRNA from 1 species